UCAUCUUUAGCUGGUUCUGUCUCG
rnacentral:misc_RNA from 1 species